GUUCAAUUUAGAGAUUGAAAUACAAUUAUUUAAGGUAAAUUACAUCUGUUUGAAAGUGAAACCAGUUUUUUUUUUUUCAUGCAGGCUCUGUCAGUCAUAGCCAGGGGAGGUGUGGCUAGGGCUGCAUAAACAGAAACAAAGUGAUUUAACUCCUAAAUGACAGUGAAUUGAGCAGUGAAAUUGCAGGGGAAUGAUCUAUACACUAAAACUGCUUUAUUUAGCUAAAGUAAUUUAGGUGACUAUAGUGUUCCUUUAA